UACGGAGGGUGCAAGCGUUAUCCGGAUUCACUGGGUUUAAAGGGUGCGUAGGCGGGUUGGUAAGUCCGUGGUGAAAUCUCCGAGCUUAACUCGGAAACUGCCGUGGAUACUAUCAAUCUUGAAUAUCGUGGAGGUAAGCGGAAUAUGUCAUGUAGCGGUGAAAUGCUUAGAUAUGACAUAAAACACCAAUUGCGUAGGCAGCUUACUACACGAUCAUUGACGCUGAGGCACGAAAGCGUGGGGAGCAAACAGG
rnacentral:rRNA from 1 species